UGGGGGAUCGUCUAAUGGUAGGACAACGGAUUUUGAAUCCGUUUAUUUAGGUUCGAAUCCUAGUCCCCCAG
rnacentral:tRNA from 1 species